GACGAACGCUGGCGGCGUGCUUAACACAUGCAAGUCGAACGGAGCGAAUGAAAGCUUGCUUUUAUAAGCUUAGUGGCAAACGGGUGAGUAACACGUAGGCAACCUGCCGACAGGAUGGGGACAACAUUCCGAAAGGAAUGCUAAUACCGAAUGAAGCGCAGGGGAGGCAUCUCUCCUGCGUGAAAGAUGGCCUCUAUAUAUAAGCUAUCACCUGUCGAUGGGCCUGCGUCUGAUUAGCUGGUAGGUGAGGUAACGGCUCACCUAGGCGACGAUCAGUAGCCGGUCUGAGAGGAUGAACGGCCACAUUGGGACUGAGACACGGCCCAGACUCCUACGGGAGGCAGCAGUGGGGAAUCUUCCGCAAUGGGCGCAAGCCUGACGGAGCAACGCCUGCGUGAGUGAAGAAGGUCUUCGGAUCGUAAAGCUCUGUUGAUGGGGACGAACGUGCCUAAUGCGAAUAGUAUUAGGUAAUGACGGACCCAUCAGGAGCCC
rnacentral:rRNA from 1 species